rnacentral:rRNA from 1 species
UACGUAGGGUGCGAGCGUUAAUCGGAAUUACUGGGCGUAAAGCGUGCGCAGGCGGUUUGAUAAGCCAGACGGGAAAUCCCCGAGCUCAACUUGGGAACUGCGUUUGGGACUGUCAGACUAGAGUGCGUCAGAGGGGGGUGGAAUUCCGCGUGUAGCAGUGAAAUGCGUAGAGAUGCGGAGGAACACCGAUGGCGAAGGCAGCCCCCUGGGAUGACACUGACGCUCAUGCACGAAAGCGUGGGGAGCAAACAGG